rnacentral:rRNA from 1 species
GACGAACGCUGGCGGCGUGCUUAACACAUGCAAGUCGAACGGAAAGGCCCUGCUUUUGUGGGGUGCUCGAGUGGCGAACGGGUGAGUAACACGUGAGUAACCUUCCCUUGACUUUGGGAUAACUUCAGGAAACUGGGGCUAAUACCGGAUAGGAGCUCCUGCUGCAUGGUGGGGGUUGGAAAGUUUCGGCGGUUGGGGAUGGACUCGCGGCUUAUCAGCUCGUUGGUGGGGUAGUGGCUUACCAAGGCUUUGACGGGUAGCCGGCCUGAGAGGGUGACCGGCCACAUUGGGACUGAGAUACGGCCCAGACUCCUACGGGAGGCAGCAGUGGGGAAUAUUGCACAAUGGGCGGAAGCCUGAUGCAGCAACGCCGCGUGCGGGAUGACGGCCUUCGGGUUGUAAACCGCUUUCGCCUGUGACGAAGCGUGAGUGACGGUAAUGGGUAAAGAAGCACCGGCUAACUACGUG